rnacentral:rRNA from 1 species
GACAGAGGUGCCAAGCGUUAGGCGGAAUCAUUGGGCGUAAAGAGCGUGUAGGCGGUCCGGUAAGUCCGCUGUGAAAGUCGGGGGCUCAACCCUCGAAUGCCGGUGGAUACUGUCGGGCUAGAGUGCGGAAGAGGCGAGUGGAAUUCCUGGUGUAGCGGUGAAAUGCGCAGAUAUCAGGAGGAACACCUAUUGCGAAGGCAGCUCACUGGGACGUAACUGACGCUGAGACGCGAAAGCGUGGGGAGCAAACAGG